CAUGUUUAGAGUUAGUUCGUGCUGGAUUAUCCGCUCCCAGUUCCUCGUCAUAGUUCGUUUCUCGUUUUGUUUAUCGACCCUGUUUUCCGUGACCAUGACCUAGAUUCCAGCCUUGCCCCGUGUAUGCCUGUUUUCCAAUCGCCUGACCUCUUGCAUGUUUGCGGAUUACGUUUUGGAUCACGUUUUGGAUUUGUCUGCCUGUCUCUCUUUCAAAUAAACAACUGUUCAUCCUGCACUUGCAUCCGUCCUAUCUCCGCUCCGUCACGAUACGUGACAUAAAGAAGGUGAGGAAGACUUUCUCAAGACUUAAGAAGUUGAACUGAAAGGAAGUGUCUCAGGUCUGAAGAAGUUGAAGGAGAGGUUUAAAAAAUAAGGAACUGGAUGAAGUGGUUCUCAAAACUGAGGAAGUUCAAGAAGAACCUUUCAAGCCUGGGGAAGAAAAGGAAGAGUCUCUCAAGACCAAGGAAGGUGAGGAAGAUUGCUACAAAGCUGAAGAAGAGUCUCUCAAGUCUGAAGAAGUUGAGGAAGAGCGUCUUCUCUUCUCUCCACUUGGGCAGGAAAACCAUCCAUGAGCUGCAGUAAAAUGUAGCCUUAGUGUUUGUUGAUACAGUGGGGGUCAUGAUGUCUGAGUCCAGCAGCAAGAAUUGACCAUUUUACUCAACUGGCCAGAUGUGUCGUUAUCUGUAGCAUCCCUGCUGGUGCCUCUACAAAUUACACCUGCAACAUGAGGGGUCGUCAUGUGAACAUCAUUCCCGAUGUUAUCCAGGCUCUCACGCUCUGUGAAGUGGAAGUCUAUGGGGUUCCAGUGCCUGUUACUAAGAGGGCAUUUCUGAGAUUGAAGUUUAACAGCAGUGAGGAUCUUAUGAACCCUACUGUGAGGGACAAAAUUCUUCAAAAGAUGAUAUCUGCCAAUGUCCAGCCUUCAGUGCGUCAGAUCCGUUGGACUAAGGAACCAGAGGUGGAAAAAGAAACUUAAAAAACGGUAGGAAAUAUCACUACUACUACUGCAAUAAUAAUAAUAAUACAACUACUUCUACUGCUAAUAAUAGUAAUAUAGCCAUAAGAGGCAGUCUGUGGGGUCCAAACACUCCCUGCGUAUAGCACCCCCAGUGGCCAGUUCUUGUCAAGAUUCAUAGAACAAUAGAGACCAUAUGUGAACUUUCUUACACAUCACAUUUUGUGAUGAUAACUCAACGCUAGUUGUGUAACCUACCUGCUGAAAGCCGACUGGCAGAAGGCAGACUUUUUUUUUUUAAGUAAUUCAGUUACAGAUUAGCAGAAAGCGCACAGCAAAUUCUGCUCAAUUGGAAUUUUGGUUCCUGAGAAACAGCUAUUUGAACUUAACGCUGACCCUUAUGAACAUGAACAGCACGCCCCAGGUAGCCAAUUUGAGUGAGAUUGCAUCAGAUACUGUGGGG